GACGAACGCUGGCGGCGUGCCUAAUACAUGCAAGUAGAACGCACAGUUUAUACCGUAGCUUGCUACACCAUAGACUGUGAGUUGCGAACGGGUGAGUAACGCGUAGGUAACCUGCCUGGUAGCGGGGGAUAACUAUUGGAAACGAUAGCUAAUACCGCAUAAUAUUAAUUAUUGCAUGAUAAUUAAUUGAAAGGUGCAAUUGCACCACUACCAGAUGGACCUGCGUUGUAUUAGCUAGUAGGUGAGGUAACGGCUCACCUAGGCGACGAUACAUAGCCGACCUGAGAGGGUGAACGGCCACACUGGGACUGAGACACGGCCCAGACUCCUACGGGAGGCAGCAGGAGGGAAUCUUCGGCAAUGGACGAAAGGCUGAACGAGCAAAGCCGCGUGAGUGAAGAAGGUUUUCGGAUCGUAAAGCUCUGUUGUAAGAGAAGAACGGGUGUGAGAGUGGAAAGUUCACACUGUGACGGUAUCUUACCAGAAAGGGACGGCUAACUACGUG
rnacentral:rRNA from 1 species